GUAGUUAAAUUCACACUAGUCUUAAAGGUUUGUUAUUUAAGGUCAAAGACGUCAAGAGCACACUAAAAAGAGCUUUACCUCAUGAAUUUAACGUAAGAUAUGACAUUUAACACACUACAUUUUCCUCUCAUUUAAAUAGCAAGCAAAAAUCAAAUACGCCUUAAAGACUUAAUGAAAAGGGAGGAAGAGGUAAUGGUAGUUAGCGGUAGUUCUCUUGUUUAGCCUUCUCCCCCCUCCUCCUGCCCUUCUGCCUGACCCUCCUCCCCCCCAGGCCUGAAGGUAGGGGCAGGGCAGGGAGAGGAACACCUGCUUGGAGCCACGCCCAAGAGCCAGUAGGGAAGAGGAAUGUGUGGAGGGAGGAUGUGUCUGCGUCUUCUUGAGGUCCUUUAUUUGGCGCUGGAGUGAUUUACAGAUACGAAUGCUGUUUGGAAUGGCGAGUACAAAGUGGCGAAGACACCCCACGACACAGUAGAUACUUAGUUGCCAGAGCUGAAUCUUAAAGGCUAGAGUGCUACAAAAAUAGAGGCAAGUAUGUACAAUAUGUUGAACUAGAGUUGUAGAUCACAGUCCACAGGGGUGAGUUUGACACAAGCUGCUCAAGCCGAGGUACAAAAUGACUACCUAGUGUUGGUGAUAGUGAGGGAGGUGGACCAAACUGUAUGCAUCUGCUCAAUUAGUACUCACAAAUAAUUAAGGUGAAAACUGAAAAAUGAAAAUUGAAGUGAGAUAUAAGAACUAAUAUUGAAGAGUAAGGGCAGAUUAUCUUACUCAGAGCAUCGUUUUUACCGGUUUCUGACCCAUAACUAUUGCCAAGAAACACCAAUAAGUAACCAUUUAAAUGAUAACUCUAUAUAUGUUUGGGGGUUGGAAAUCGACAAAUAUAAGAGGCUAAGUACAACAAUCUGGCAACGAUGAGUAAGGGAUAUUGACGAAAUCGUAGCGCUCGGUUUAAUUAGAACAUCCAAAAAGAACAAGAAAAAAGGGAGAUUGCAGAUAUAUAUAACCCUAAUGUUGAAUUUCUAUGCGGAGUUCAAACAGUACAUCCAAAAACUAAAGAAAAACAGUAACUAAGAUAUAAGAAUUAGUUGAAUUCGAGUUGAUAAAGUCCUUUUUUCGAACAUUAAUUUUUCAUACCUCAACUCAAUUUUUCAGAGUAGAUUGUUUCCUUACAUUAUGAGUACUAAUUAAGCUGAUGCAUGUAAUUUGAUGAACACACCCUAUGCUGAAGAAAAGGAUGGGGGGAGGGGGCAAGCAGGAGAGCCACAUACAAUCUCACACACAUACACACACACAUCGAGGAGAAAUUACCGAGACUGGGAUUCUAACAUACACACACACAGGCAGGAUGAAAGACGGGAAGAGGUAGAGAUGAUUAAGACACGUACAACACAUCAAAGAAUACGCUAGGUGCAAAUUAUACCGCACAUAUAUUCGCUAGAUGAAAGACAAGUAAAGGUGGAGAUGAUUAAGAUGAAAUGAAGGAAAAAUGUGUGUAUGAGUAAGGGGGGGUAGGAAUGGGAAGAGGUGGAGAUGACGAAGAUAAAAUGAAUGAGCAUGGAUAGCAGGAUGUGGCAGGGUAAUGUAUGAAUGAAGUGUGAAAGGGAUGAGAA